GAUGAACGCUGGCGGCGUGCCUAAUACAUGCAAGUCGAGCGAACAGAUAAGGAGCUUGCUCCUUUGACGUUAGCGGCGGACGGGUGAGUAACACGUGGGUAACCUACCUAUAAGACUGGGAUAACUUCGGGAAACCGGAGCUAAUACCGGAUAACAUUUGGAACCGCAUGGUUCUAAAGUGAAAGAUGGUUUUGCUAUCACUUAUAGAUGGACCCGCGCCGUAUUAGCUAGUUGGUAAGGUAACGGCUUACCAAGGCGACGAUACGUAGCCGACCUGAGAGGGUGAUCGGCCACACUGGAACUGAGACACGGUCCAGACUCCUACGGGAGGCAGCAGUAGGGAAUCUUCCGCAAUGGGCGAAAGCCUGACGGAGCAACGCCACGUGAGUGAUGAAGGGUUUCGGCUCGUAAAACUCUGUUAUUAGGGAAGAACAAAUGUGUAAGUAACUGUGCACGUCUUGACGGUACCUAAUCAGAAAGCCACGGCUAACUACGUG
rnacentral:rRNA from 1 species